AGUGAACGCUUGCGGUAGGCCUAACACAUGCAAGUCGAACGGCAGCACAGUAAGAGCUUGCUCUUACGGGUGGCGAGUGGCGGACGGGUGAGGAAUACAUCGGAAUCUACUUUUUCGUGGGGGAUAACGUAGGGAAACUUACGCUAAUACCGCAUACGACCUACGGGUGGAAGCAGGGGAUCUUCGGACCUUGCGCGAUUGAAUGAGCCGAUGUCGGAUUAGCUAGUUGGCGGGGUAAAGGCCCACCAAGGCGACGAUCCGUAGCUGGUCUGAGAGGAUGAUCAGCCACACUGGAACUGAGACACGGUCCAGACUCCUGCGGGAGGCAGCAGUGGGGAAUAUUGGACAAAGGGCGCAAGCCUGAUCCAGCCAUACCGCGUGGGUGAAGAAGGCCUUCGGGUUGUAAAGCCCUUUUGUUGGGAAAGAAAAGCAGCAGGUUAAUACCCCGCUGUUCUGACGGUACCCAAAGAAUAAGCACCGGCUAACUUCGUG
rnacentral:rRNA from 1 species